rnacentral:misc_RNA from 1 species
AACGCACAUUGCGCCCGCCAGGAUUCUGGCGGGCAUGCCUGCUCGAGCGUCAUUUCAACCCUCGAGCUCCCCUCUUUUUGGGAGAGCCCGGCGUUGGGGACCCGGCGCUAACACCGCCGGCCCCGCAAUGGAGCGGCGGCCCGCCCGCGGCGGCCUCUGCGUAGAAAUAUCCACCCGCACCGGGACCCGGGCGCGGCCACGCCGUUAAACACCCCACCUACCGAAUGUUGACCUCGAAUCAGGUAGGAAUACCCGCUGAACUUAA